ACGAGCGCGCGUGCGCGGUUGGCAGCCAUGUGUGUUGUGUUCUCACUGUUGUGUGCUGUGCUCCUUCCCUUUUCUGCAUCUGCCGCCAUCAAGGACCAGGGGCCAUGCCGGGCUAUCCUGAGGCCAGGUGGAAAUCGAGGCCAGGAGGAUGGACCCACAGCGUGGAAGGGCUGACCGAGCUCUUCUGGAAGAUGUCCUGCCUCAAAAAUACAUCUUGAGAAGAGUAAGGAAGAAAAGGCCAUUUUUCCUGUUUGGGGAACCCAAGGUGCCAGCGCUAGAGGAGACCUGAGAUGACACAUGGCUGUUACCAGGCUGUUUCAUGGAACUUCGGAAGAGAUGGAACAUCUGAGUUUAAUAAACCAUGGAUACUGGAGGCAGCUAGAGGAAAGCACACCUGCUAUCCAAGCUCUUGGAGGUGGAGGCAAGAAGAUUGUGAAUUCGAGGCCUACCUGGCUGGGCUACAAGAGGCCCAGUCUCCAGAAACAAUAAAUGCAGUUUUAUCUAUGA